AGAGAGAGAGAGUUUAGCGAUUCAGUCUGAUUCACAUCUCUGAGUUUGUUAGACAUGGCAAGAAGCUUUUGGUGGUCGAUACUUUGAAGUUAGGCUGGCUGGAAUUGAGCGUUUCCAUCUCAGAUGAAGAUGCUGCUUAUUCAAGUAAGGAGAUGGUGCUUCUAGCUUCAGGUUCUUUUACCGCGCUGAAGGAUCACUUGAAGUAAUGGAAUCUGCUACUUGUUUUGAGUUUAAAAAGAAGUACUUAUAGGUGAAGUUGUUUUGACAAAUGGUUUUUACAAUUUUGAUGACUUUAGUCUGGUGGAAUUGAGGGUUUCCAUGUUAUAUUCAUUCAGCCCAUUGCACACAUUGCUCCAUCAGAUGAAGAUGUUGCUAUUUAGGAAAGAAGAUGGUGCUUCUAGCCUCAGGUACUCUCUUCUAGUUGAUCUAUGCUCUUUGUCUAUUAGAUGGGUUUUGUUUUGAUGGAAGUCUUAGUUUCUUGAUAUGUUGCUGGAACGGUAUUUCUCUAAAGGUCUUAAAGAGAUUUCAGCCUGACUUUUCUUUCACGAGGUAUUUCUCUGUCUUUCCCGUUUUGUUUGUCUUUUUGAAUUUUCAGAGGAUUGAAAUUUGAAGGCAAACGAUUAAUCCAAUUCUGAUGAGAUUUAUUGUUUCUUUAUUUAAGCAAUUGACUUUUGUAUCAUUGUUAUUUUCCAAAACUUAAAGAUUUUUGUUUUUGUUUCUGUUUUUUUCUUUAACAACCCAAAAAGGAUCAUGGACAGACACUAAACUAAUAGUGUUCUGUCAGAUUCUAUUUUGGAGACAUUGUCCCGAGAAAAGUUGUCAACUAUUGAUUGGCUUGGUAGUGCAUGCAUGUUGGGAGGUCGGAAAAGAGAUUUCGGAUUGUUAGAUGGGAAUGACACAUGGCUUAAAAAGUCUUAAGACAAAGACUGAAAAGAACCAAAGAGUUCUCUCAAUUUGUACCCUCGGCUUGUUUGGUUGGGAAUGACACAUGGCUUAAAAAGUCUUAAGACAAAGACUGAAAAGAACCAAAGAGUUCUCUCAAUUUGUACCCUCUGUUUGGUUGGGAAUGCCAUAUGGCUUUAAAAGUCUUAAGACAAAGACUGAAUAGAAGAACCACAGAGUUCUCACAAUUGUUACCAUCGGCUUUGAAUUACCAUAAGACAAAGAGUCAAAAGACUUUGGUACCCACGUCUUUGAAAAAACCAUAAGACGAAGAGUCGAAAGACUUUGGUACCCACGGCUUUGAAAAAACCAUAAGAUAGAGUCGAAAGACUUUGGUACCCACGGCUUUGAAAAACCAUAAGACAUAGAGUGAAUAGAACCAAAGAGUUCUCACAAUUGGUACCCUCGGCUUUGAACAACCAUAAGACAAAGAGUCAAAAGACUUUGGUACCCACGGCUUUGAAACACCAUAAGACAUAGAGUCAAACGACUUUGGUACCCACGGCUUUGAAAAACCACAAGACAAAGAGUCAAACGACUUUGGUACCCACGGCUAUGAAAUACCAUAAGACAAAGAGUCAAACGACUUUGGUACCCACGGCUAUGAAAAACCAUAAGACAAAGAGUCAAACGACUUUGGUACCCACGGCUUUGAAAAACCAUAAGACAAAGAGUCAAAUUUAUAAGACAAAGAGUCAAUAGACUUGGGAUGGGACUGAAAAUACGACCAAAAUCUUCAAAGAACAAUGAAGACUAACUAACUCUGAUUUCCUCAGGUAUGUUCUUCUGAAAGCGUUUGGAUUGUUGAGACUUGGAGUAGAUUUUAAGUGCUGCAGACUUCUUUGCCAGGUGAAUACAGUGGCUGAUUUUGCGUGGAUGACUGUGGAGGAUUCCUGGAAGCUUUUUUUCUCUUGAGUUUCAUCCUUCCUGGGUUGUCUUGUCCGAGUGUCCGAAUUGGCUUGGCUGAAACAUCACUUGACAAAGAUUUGGCCUUAUGCUGAUGAGGCGAAGGAGGGGAGAAGAAGAGAGACUUUUCUACAUUGGAGUUGAAGCCAGAUCAUGGAAAUAAACCUCUGUGGGAAAGUGAAGCUGGUAUUGAAGACGAAGUGUUGUUUAAGUUCACAAGGCUUAUUCUCUUUCUCUUCUCUUUUGUAUUUGGGAUCUUGGUUUCGGUUUUUUUCAUUGCUUUUGCUCAAGUGUAAAAACAAAACUAUCUCAGCUGAUGACAUGAACCGAGCUAGAUUUGCUUCUGAGAUGGCAAAACAACACGGUAGAACUGGGGAGCUGUUGAGUGGAGCAUAACUGGCAGCAGUAGCAGAAGAGAAUUAGAAAUUCACUCAUUUGAGACAGACCCUUUGCAAGUAAAUUUUCCCUGAUGCCGUUGAGAAAUAAUCGUGUUAAUGAGUUUGGACGAGCAAGAUCUGGGAUUAUAGUGUUGCCUUGUGGUGCUGAUAAAUCUCUAGUUGGUGUUUAUGAUGCGCUCGUAUAAAGAAGAGUCGUCUUUUUUGGUGACGAAUGCUGUCUUCGUGGAUCGGGCCUUCCAGUUCCAGUUGUGGUCUACUAUAAGAGAUGGUGCAUGUGGUUCCGUCUUGCAUAUUUAGGGAAGUUAUCAGCCUGACAAAAUCUCACUGCAAACUAGGACUUACAGGUAUGUCCUUUUAUAGAUCUUUUGGUAUUUAGGGAAGUUAUCAGCCU